UACGUAGGGUGCAAGCGUUGUCCGGAAUUAUUGGGCGUAAAGAGCUCGUAGGCGGUCUGUCGCGUCUGCUGUGAAAACUCGGGGCUUAACCCCGGGCCUGCAGUGGGUACGAGCAGACUAGAGUGCGGUAGGGGAGACUGGAAUUCCUGGUGUAGCGGUGAAAUGCGCAGAUAUCAGGAGGAACACCGGUGGCGAAGGCGGGGUCUCUGGGCCGUAACUGACGCUGGAGGAGCGAAAGCAUGGGGAGCGAACAGG
rnacentral:rRNA from 1 species